AGCAAAUCAGAAAUUCAGUGCAUUCAAUAAAUAUUUAAAAAAUAAAAUACAGCUACCAGUUGUUAAUUAAUCUUUUGAAUAAACUGAGGACUUUGUAGUCCCAAGGGAAAGUCAUAAGCAGGUGAUAAAAAACAAAUUACCUUAUAGCUGUCAUCACUAUGCUGGUUACUGGACUUUAAUCUCAUAAAAGGUUCACUGCAUUUGCACAACAGCAUUCUUCACUCCCCAAGCUAAGAAAGCUAUAUGAUUACUUGUUUAAUAGUUUAAUAUAUGUUCCACUGAAAUUAUUAAACAUAUAUUAAAUAUAAUUUGCUUAAGUAAAUAAGACUACAAUGUAUACCUAUAUACUUGGAUAUACAUCACAAUAAAAGGUCAGUAAAUGGGAAAAGUUUCAGUCUAAGGUUUGCUGCUAGACAAACAAAUUGAUCUGGAAUAUAUGAAUGUAACUGCGCUAAGUGAAGAGGGUAGAGUGACUUGGCUAUGCCCAGGAUGUUCCUGUGUGCAGAAACAGGCUAGAUUCAAAUGGAAGGUUAUGUCAUAGUGAUCCAUUGUGAACGCUCAGCCAGCAAUCUCCAAGAUACAUAUGUGUCCAUCCAUUGUUAGGGUGAGACAGAUGGAUCCCUUGAUUCCCAUAUGCCUCUCUGCUUCAGCUGACAUAGUGCUUACGUCUCUCCAAACUGUUGGGAGGCCUUCAACAUUUGUUCCAAGGCCCCUCAACAGGAGUGGAUCAAGAUUGUAUGGCUUUUAUGACAAAUGUAAGCCUUUCUAGUGGAUGGCUUCUUUGAUUGACGGAAGACGUUCAUAGGUGAACUACGACCUUGUGGAGUAGCGGGAAUGGUGGAAAAAGCAGAACUAUGAAGCUCUCAAUGCGGCAGCUGAAGGAAACUGAAAGGGGAGCCCUGG